rnacentral:rRNA from 1 species
UACGUAGGGGGCUAGCGUUGUCCGGAAUCAUUGGGCGUAAAGCGCGUGUAGGCGGUCCGGUAAGUCCGCUGUGAAAGUCGAGGGCUCAACCCUCGAAUGCCGGUGGAUACUGUCGGGCUUGAGUAUGGGAGAGGCGAGUGGAAUUCCUGGUGUAGCGGUGAAAUGCGCAGAUAUCAGGAGGAACACCGAUUGCGAAGGCAGCUCGCUGGAACGUUACUGACGCUGAGGAGCGAAAGCGUGGGGAGCGAACAGG